rnacentral:lncRNA from 1 species
UUGCUUCAUCUAUCCCCUUGACCACAUUUAUCAGCUCCUCGAACUCCCUGACAUAAGCCUGAACUGAAUCUGUCUGCUUCAAAGCUGAUAAUUUGUGCCUCGGUUCAUCAUCUUUCGAUUCCGCAAAAUGGUCUAACAUCCUCUGCUUGAACUGCAACCAGCUAUUGAAAGGUUCUUCCUCAUUCUCCCACGUAUACCAAUUUCCCACAGCUCCAGCAAGACUCAAAGCAACCAAUUCCAAUUUCUGAUGUUCUUCAUAACGAGCCGCCCUGAAAUAUCUCUCAACUCUCGAAAUCCAACCAUAAGGCAUUGAACCAUCAAACACAGGCAAAUCAAUCUUCUUCAAUAAACUUUCUCUACUCGCAAAAGAAUAUUGAAUUUUCCGAUAACCUAGCUCCUCUGUACC